rnacentral:rRNA from 1 species
UACGAAGGGGGCAAGCGUUGUUCGGAAUUACUGGGCGUAAAGGGCGCGUAGGCGGCUUAUCAAGUCAGGCGUGAAAUUCCCGGGCUCAACCUGGGGGCUGCGCUUGAUACUGAUGAGCUUGAAUGCGGGAGAGGAUAGUGGAAUUCCCAGUGUAGAGGUGAAAUUCGUAGAGAUGUGGAGAAUACCGAUGGCGAAGGCAGCCCCCUGGGCCAAUACUGACGCUCAUGCACGAAAGCGUGGGGAGCAAACAGG